AUAUAUAUCAAGCAAUUCAUACAUUACAAUCAAUACAGUCAUCCCAAAUUUGCACAAAAAUAUGUCACAAAGAAUAUAAACAUACAAUACAACAAAGGCAAAAAGUAGGCUAAACCCACUAGGAAGAACAGAUCACCUCCCCAGCAGAGUCGCCACUUUUCUGUAGCGGGGUAUUCGUUACCUUUAGAUUUAUUUACUAAAUCAAAAGUAAAUCAUAUAAUUCGAGUCGCCACCGCUCUUCUAUUUAUCCAAAGGAAAGGUU
rnacentral:lncRNA from 1 species